CUUGUAAAUGAGCCCAGAGCUGACUCUUGUGACCUCACCAAGGGCAUCUCAGUCUUCUUUAUGAACACAUCCAUUGGGCCUGCCCGGUGUUGCUUGGGCUCACCUGCUUCUCCCAGCCAUCGUGUGCUGCAGCCCCUCUGUUGACAGACUUUCUUUGCAUCAGUUAAGGUGUUCAGCGUGACAGACGGGUUAAGAUCAACUCCAUUUUUCAGUGGCUCAAAACCACCUGUGGGAGGUCAGAAGUAAUGCAUCCAGCAGAGCGCAUCUGUGAUCCAGAAGUCAGAUCUGUCUGCACCCCCACA